rnacentral:rRNA from 1 species
CUACGGGGGGCACCAGUGGGGAAUAUUGGGCAAUGGGCGCAAGCCUGACCCAGCAACGCCGCGUGAGGGAAGAAGGUUUUCGGAUUGUAAACCUCUGUCCUUGGGGACGAAGAAGUGACGGUACCCAAGGAGGAAGCUCCGGCUAACUACGUGCCAGCAGCCGCGGUGAAUACGUAGGGAGCAAGCGUUGUCCGGAAUUACUGGGCGUAAAGGGUGCGUAGGCGGCAUAUUAAGUCAGGUGUGAAAUACUCGGGCUCAACCCGGGGGCUGCAUUUGAAACUGAUAUGCUUGAGUGUGAGAGAGGAAAGUGGAAUUCCUAGUGUAGCGGUGGAAUGCGUAGAUAUGAGGAGGAACACCAGUGGCGAAGGCGACUUUCUGGCUCAUAACUGACGCCGAGGCACGAAAGCGUGGGGAGCAAACAGGAUUAGAUACCCUAGUAGUC